GACGCACGCUGGCGGCGUGCUUAACACAUGCAAGUCGAACGAAGAGUCGAACGGGUGUGUAAUACGUGGGUAACCUGACCUCCUUUUUGGGAUAAGCUUUUGAAACGGGUUCUAAUACCCAAUACAGGGGGUUGGGCUCGUGGCCUAUCAGCUUGUUGGUGGGGUGAUGGCCCACCAAGGCGGUGACGGGUAGCCGGCCUGAGAGGACGACCGGCCAAAUUGGGACUGAGAUACGGCCCAGCCUCCUACGGGAGGCAGCAGUGGGGAAUAUUGCACAAUGGGCGCAAGCCUGAUGCAGCCAUGCCGCGUGGAUGAAGAAGGCCUUCGGGUUGUAAAGUACUUUCAGUCGGGAGGCGUUACCGGCAGAAGAAGCACCGGCUAACUCCGUGCCAGCAGCCGCGGUAAUAC
rnacentral:rRNA from 1 species